rnacentral:rRNA from 1 species
GACGAACGCUGGCGGCGUGCCUAAUACAUGCAAGUAGAACGCUGAAGCUUGGUGCUUGCACCGAGCGGAUGAGUUGCGAACGGGUGAGUAACGCGUAGGUAACCUGCCUGGUAGCGGGGGAUAACUAUUGGAAACGAUAGCUAAUACCGCAUAAAAUGGAUUAUCGCAUGAUAAUCGAUUGAAAGGUGCAAAUGCAUCACUACCAGAUGGACCUGCGUUGUAUUAGCUAGUUGGUGGGGUAACGGCUCACCAAGGCGACGACACAUAGCCGACCUGAGAGGGUGAUCGGCCACACUGGGACUGAGACACGGCCCAGACUCCUACGGGAGGCAGCAGUAGGGAAUCUUCGGCAAUGGACGGAAGUCUGACCGAGCAACGCCGCGUGAGUGAAGAAGGUUUUCGGAUCGUAAAGCUCUGUUGUAAGAGAAGAACGAGUGUGAGAGUGGAAAGUUCACACUGUGACGGUAUCUUACCAGAAAGGGACGGCUAACUACGUGCCAGCAGCCGCGGUAAUACGUAGGUCCCGAGCGUUGUCCGGAUUUAUUGGGCGUAAAGCGAGCGCAGGCGGUUAGAUAAGUCUGAAGUUAAAGGCUGUGGCUUAACCAUAGUACGCUUUGGAAACUGUUUAACUUGAGUGCAAGAGGGGAGAGUGGAAUUCCAUGUGUAGCGGUGAAAUGCGUAGAUAUAUGGAGGAACACCGGUGGCGAAAGCGGCUCUCUGGCUUGUAACUGACGCUGAGGCUCGAAAGCGUGGGGAGCAAACAGG